AUUGAACGCUGGCGGCAGGCCUAACACAUGCAAGUCGAGCGGAGCGGCGGACGGGUGAGUAAUGACUAGGAAUCUGCCUGGUAGUGGGGGAUAACGUACGGCAACGGGAGCGAAUACCGCAUACUAUCAGAUGAGCCUAGGGUGGAUUAGCUAGUUGGUGGGGUAAAGGCCUACCAAGGCGAAGAACCGUAACUGGUCUGAGAGGAUGAUCAGCCACACUGGAACUCAGACACGGUCCAGACUCCUACGGGAGUCAGCAGUGGGGAAUAUUGGACAAUGGGUGAAAGCCUGAUCCAGCCAUGCCGCGUGUGUGAAGAAGGUCUUCGGAUUGUAAAGCACUUUAAGUUGGGAGGCGUUACCAACAGAAGAAGCACCGGCUAACUUCGUGCCAGCAGCCGCGGUAAUUC
rnacentral:rRNA from 1 species